CCAGCAACAAAGAAAACAUUUCCAGCCUGAGCUGAUUGUAGAAGCUGCACAUUUUAUAACUCCAGCCAGCACCCCUAUACAGAGAACUGGAAGGAAGAAACGCAGACUAAGACCCUGCAGCAGGUGCAGCUUGAUUCCCAAGUGCACUGACCUUCCAUAGGAGCAUGGCAGGAAUUUCAAAUAGGAUUAGCCACCCAGACAAGGAAAAGGUCACAGGACAUUUCCACUGGAAAUUCUCAUGCAAAUAGGCCUUUUGAUAUGCAUGGCAUUUUUUCCACGCGCAUCUAAUAGCCAUGCAUACAGAAAAAGGGAAAUAUUGAAACAUGAUGGCUAAUGUAUGUUAAUCUUGUGAAGGUGUUGACUUCACUAAAAAUCCAGGGCUGCCAAAGGGUAGGAAUGCCUGACUUUGUAUAAAAGGGGUCUCUUAGAAUAUUAAAGCCUUGCAAGAAAACA